rnacentral:rRNA from 1 species
GUGUAAGUAUAAAUAAUUUUACUUUGAAACUGCGAAUGGCUCAUUAUAUCAGUUAUAGUUUAUUAGAAAUAUUUUACUACUUGGAUAACCGGAGUAAUUCUAGGGCUAAUACAUGAAUAAAACCUCAACUUCGGAAGAGGUGUGUUUAUUAGUAUGAAAACCAUAUAUCUUCGGAUAUAAUAGAGAGUAAUAAUAACCUUUCAUAUCGUAUGACGUAAGAUAACGAUAGUUCUUUCAAGUUUCUGCCCUAUCAGCUUUCGAUGGUAGAAUAUGGGACUACCAUG